rnacentral:rRNA from 1 species
UACGAGGGGGGCAAGCGUUGUUCGGAGUUACUGGGCGUAAAGAGUGCGUAGGCGGUUUUCUAAGUUUGGUGUGAAAUCUCCCGGCUUAACUGGGAGGGUGCGCCGAAGACUGGAAGGCUUGAGUAUGGGAGAGGUAAGCGGAAUUCCUGGUGUAGCGGUGAAAUGCGUAGAUAUCAGGAGGAACACCUGCGGUGUAGACGGCUUACUGGACCAUAACUGACGCUGAGGCACGAAAGCGUGGGUAGCAAACAGG